rnacentral:rRNA from 1 species
UACGUAGGCAGCGAGCGUUGUUCGGAGUUACUGGGCGUAAAGGGUGUGUAGGCGGUUGGUUAAGUUUGGUGUGAAAUCUCCCGGCUCAACUGGGAGGGUGCGCCGAAUACUGAAUGACUUCGAGUGCGGGAGAGGAAAGUGGAAUUCCUGGUGUAGCGGUGAAAUGCGUAGAUAUCAGGAGGAACACCGGUGGUGUAGACGGCUUUCUGGACCGUAACUGACGCUGAGACACGAAAGCGUGGGUAGCAAACAGG